AUGAGAGUUGCUUUGCGAUAAGGAUCCCUCGGCCCCUGUAGAACUCCGUUAUGCCUCUAGCUUGCUUGCUUACUUUUUCAUGAUUGAGGACAGCUCCAGAAUCAUGCUCUGAAGGAAAGAAAGAUGUGUAGACAGUGCAUGGUUAUUAUUCAAACCACAGACAUGAACACGUUUUUCUGACCUCACCUUGCUGCUGUGACGUAAAGUAUACUCCAGGGUGUGUCAGCACCAUGUGACAUCACACGUCUGGCCACACCCAACCACCCCUGAGGUGCACCAGCAUGGAAUCCUUCCUUACAUUUCCAAAUUUCCAAGAUAACAAUGUCCUGCCACCCUGCUGUGACACCCAGAGACACCUGGAUGUGAGUGUUUGUUUGUCUUGCCUCUACCCUAGUACAAUGGAGGUACAGUUUGGUUUAUGGUACUGGAAUAAACAAGCACAGCACAGAAAACAACGCGAAGGUGUUUUGUAGGUCAGUGUUGUCCAGCAGAGGGCGACACAGACCUGGCAAUACUGCGAGGAGCUUCAAGAGAGCUUUUUCAGUUUUGAAAUGAGCCUGGUUGCCCAUGUCUAAAUAAACUGUCCAAUCUAAAUGACCAGUCACAACCAGCCUGGGGCAGAAUGAGCUGGCAGCCAUCUGACCCACUGAUAUUGUAUAGCCAAGAAGAGACAUUGUUUUAGGGGCUCCAGAUAAAACAUGAUAUUUUGUUUUCUCACCAUGGACAUCCUCCUCCCGCCGGCUGGAGGCGGGGGGGUCGUCACCGGACUCUCUCCCUGGUUGAGGUGCUGGGCCUCGACGUCUGUUCCACUCUGAGAAUCUGCGCUGUCAGACGGAGUGGCCAGCUUCCCCUCCGACAGUCCUCGGGACAUAAAACUGCAUUUCCUGGCAGUUGGGAAGUGGUCACUGUCCGGAGAAUCACUCAUGUCACUGAGCUCCUUACAAACACUCACUCUGCUCUGCUUCCUCUGCGGGUUUCUCAGGGCCGCUGGGAUCUCCAUGUGGCAGGCGAUCAGUGUGGGUCGAGGUCCUGCGUACUGCGGCUGGCCCGAGCCGUGAGGUCCAUUCGACUCAUCACUGCUGCACGAGGGCUUUCUGUAGUCCUGAGCGUAGCUCUGAUCCCCAGACCCCACCUGCUGUAGGCCUUGGAUGUCCACAUGGCUCGGCAGGUACGUCUGCUGGUUGGAGCUGUUAGAGGCUUCCUGAUUCUGAGGGGCCACUGGGGCCAAAUUCUCACCACGAGCAUCAGACACAACAGAGCAGGCCAUCUGUGUGAGCUGUAUCAACCUCUGUGAUGGAAAAUCUCCAGGAGGUUGAGGAAUAAAGAAACCCCAGCUAUAACCAGCAUGAAAACCAUGAAAAUGUUCUUCUCAGUUGGCCGGGACACAAAACAGUCGACACUGUUGGGGCAAGGAAGCCGCUCACAUUUGUACAAAGGAGACAGUCCAAUGCCAUACAGAGCACACUGACCUAUAAUGAAACCCACCUCCACCACAGAUCUGGUUAAGAUAUGGAAAACAUAUGUGCGCAGAAGGGAACCUCUGAGGGGAGCCUUCCUUACUUUCUUCUGUUCAUCUAGUUUCCUGAGCUCUCGCUCGAUUCUCUUAUGGUCCUCCUGGAUGGGGUCUGUCCCCUCCAGCUCAGCUUUCAGAAAGGCUUUCUUCUUGUGCCUCUCCUUCUCAAGGGUUCUCAAACGGUACAAUGCAUGCCCCAUGUAGACCAGAGACGGAGAGGACACAAAGAUGAUCUGCAGGACCCAGUAGCGGAUAAGAGAGAUGGGGAAAGCCUGGUCGUAGCAGACAUUCUUGCAACCAGGUUGCUCUGUGUUGCAAACAAACUCACUCUGCUCGUCAUCCCAAACGUCCUCAGCCGCAACCCCGAGCACAAGCAUUCGGAAAAUGAAGAGGAUGGUGAGCCAGAUCUUCCCCACAAUAGUGGAAUGAAUGUGGACCUCCUCUAAAAUACUCCCUAAUAAAUUCCAAUCCCCCAUCUUCUGUCACAUUAUUUUCAUCUGUCAAUGAAUAAAGAAACAAAAGUAG